CAGAGGUCUCAAGCGUUGUUCGGAUUCAUUGGGCGUAAAGGGUGCGUAGGCGGCGCGGUAAGUCGGGUGUGAAAUUUCGAGGCUUAACUUCGAAACUGCAUUCGAUACUGCCGUGCUCGAGGACUGGAGAGGAGACUGGAAUUUACGGUGUAGCGGUGAAAUGCGUAGAUAUCGUAAGGAAGACCAGUGGCGAAGGCGGGUCUCUGGACAGUUCCUGACGCUGAGGCACGAAGGCCAGGGGAGCAAACGGGAUUAGAUACCCCGGUAGUCCUGGCAAUAAACGGUGCACGUUUGGUGUGGGAGGAUUCGACCCCUUCUGCGCCGGAGCUAACGCGUUAAACGUGCCGCCUGGGGAGUACGGUCGCAAGAUUA
rnacentral:rRNA from 1 species